AAAUGAUUCUGACGUUGACCUAACUGAUAUCCUCUCCUCCAGGGAAGCUCCCUGGGAGCAGGACUCGCCCAACCAGUGCUCCAUGCCACGCUGCUUGGAGGCUCUGGGGGACACGACGCCCUCAGCAGUGCCUGAGGCAAAAAUGAAACCUGAGGUUGAAGCAUUGAAAAAAACAGAGUGCAGUGGUGGAGAGCUUAUGCAAAACCUGAGCAAUGUAUUUUCUAUCAACAUGCAGUCUGGCAAGAGAAAGGACUCCUCUGCAGGAUAUGAAAGAGAGCCCAGCCAGACUCAUUUCAUCU
rnacentral:lncRNA from 1 species